rnacentral:rRNA from 1 species
GACAGAGGGUGCAAACGUUGCUCGGAAUUACUGGGCGUAAAGCGCGUGUAGGCGGAACGGUAAGUCGGGUGUGAAAUCCCCGGGCUCAACCCGGGAACUGCAUUCGAAACUGCCGCUCUUGAGUGCCGGAGAGGGAAGCGGAAUUCCUGGUGUAGAGGUGAAAUUCGUAGAUAUCAGGAGGAACACCGGUGGCGAAGGCGGCUUCCUGGACGGUAACUGACGCUGAGACGCGAAAGCGUGGGGAGCAAACAGG